CAGUGCUCCUUUAGCUCUAAUCCCAGCGCAGUACCGAGACCUGGUCCUGUUUAAGAUGUCAUUCCUUCUGGUUCUCUCAGGCCGGACGCCGGUCGGGGUUUACUGAAGCGGCGCGCAUGUGCUUUUAUUUCUUGGCGUAUGAAUGGCCCUUAGAGAGAAAUGAAGCAGACUUGAAAUACAAAUUGGAAAAGCAGGAGGCCUUUGUUCUUCACUGCACUGCCAUUCAGAGGGACCUCUAGUGGCCGACCGUCUGUAUAACAGGUGUUCAAAUGCACAACAUCCUGGAGUCCAGAAUGUGAUUGGACGAGGAGACAAUCAACAGACAUCUGCUGGACAAAUGUGUAGUUUUAAUUAGUUUAAUACAAAAUGACCAAAAUGUUUCG